GGAAAUCUGAGAGCUAACACUCUCAGCACAAUUGUUUCAAGCACUGGAAUUCUUGUUCUCUCAAACAACUUAAUAAAAAUCACCUUCCUGAAGUUUGAGAAAGAAAAUUUAUGUUCUGGCAUCACAUCAGUUGCAACUGGCCUGGUGGUCUUGCUGAUGCUACUCAACUGUCUGCAAUUUUCAAUCACACUUGCUCUGUGUGUGCUCGACUAUCACGUGGACGGUGAGAAAAUUGAUUGGCUUUCGGCAUUAUUUUCCCGGAAAUCAGCUUCAGGGAGUCCUGAUGAAGGCUUGCUGCCUCACCCUUCACUCUACCAGAAUCUUGAGAGGAAGGACACACUG